rfam:Felis catus isolate Cinnamon breed Abyssinian chromosome A2, whole genome shotgun sequence.
GCCUGGCUGGCUCAAUCAGUGGAGUAUGUGACUCUUGAUCUCAAGGUUGUGAGUUCAAGCCCCAUGUUGGGUA